AGGGCACCACCAGGAGUGGAGCCUGCGGCUUAAUUUGACUCAACACGGGAAAACUCGCCCGGCCCGGACACCGUAAGGAUUGACAGACUGAGAGCUCUUUCUUAAUUCGGUGGGUGGUGGUGCAUGGCCGUUCUUAGUUGGUGGAGCGAUUUGUCUGGUUAAUUCCGAUAACGAACGAGACUCUAGCCUGUUAAAUAGGCAGCGUAUUCUUAAUCCGCUGUACUUCUUAAAGGGACAAGCAGCGGCUAACUGCACGAGAUUGAGCAAUAACAGGGCUGGGAUGGCCUUAGAUGGUCGGGGCUGCACGCGCGCUACACUGAAGGAAUCAACAUGGUUCUCAACCUUGCCCGGAAGGGCUAGGUAACCCGUUGAAACUCCUUCGUGAUUGGGAUAGGGAAUUGCAAUUAUUUUCCUUGAACGGGGAAUUCCCAGUAAGUGCGGGUCAUCAGCUCGCGCUGAUUACGUCCCUGCCCUUUGUACACACCGCCCGUCGCUACUACCGAUUGGAAGUAGACGAGA
rnacentral:rRNA from 1 species